AAAGAACGGCUGAGCUGAGGAGAACAGAACAAAAAAUGCAUCAACUGAGUUACUCUGUAAUCAAUUUUCUUCAGCAGCGGUUGCUGAACAUCAAUGCCAAGCAGACAGUUUUUCAUUAUAAGUAUUUACAUUUGUUGCAUAAAUUUUAUAACUAACUUCCUGUUAAUAUCUAAAUAAAACCGUCUUUUUCGUUCUAGCCCAAUUAGGCUGUUGAAAAUUAGCACAGCCGAGGAUAUAACUUGAAGAAAAAAACUGCACGCCAUCCUUAUUUUUUUACGUGAACUGGGGAUGUAAUUUGACCUCUGCUUGCUGAACAAUUUCUGCUUGGAGCUAUUACAGUAUGCAGCAAGAAAUGUUUGAUGGUGGAACUACCCCUUGCUAAUUCAUCACAUUUUAAUACGCACAUUUCCCGUAAGGAAGUACUGAGCACCACGUACCCUCUGAUAUAAUGCCACGCGGGCUCCGUUAUCGAAAAUGUAGCGAUUAUUAAAAAGCUGCUCUUGGGUUAAAACAGAAUCAUAAUUUACUUCCUCUUAUCCCAGAAGUACUUGAACUCCACCCUGAAUUUAAUCCAUGAAAUUAAAUUUAAUCACUUGCAUCUGAUUUGCACAUUUUAAAGUCCCCAAAUUGUGAUUCUAGAAAAAUACCAUUCUUAGGAUAUAACAACUCCAUCGACGACUGAUACUAUCUACUGUCUGUCCAGCUUUCAAAUAUUCUUUUAACAAGACUCCAAAUUAUACACAAGCACAAUGUCAUCCAGCAAUCAUGAAGUAGAAUUUAUGGAACCAAGAGAGUAUUCUCAGACAUCGUCGACCGCCAACAACAGUACAAACAUCAAUUCACCCAGCGAGACGAAAUCCCAGUCAGUCGAAUCCCAACGGAAACGCAAAUAUCUUUUGCUGGGAGUAUUUGUGACAGCUUGUAUUUACUUCAACAUCUUCAUGGCAUUAUGUCCGGUCAUUUUCAAAGUGCUUAGCGAUUACACGGACUGGAAUUGGAUUGAAGUUUUUGAUUUAUCUCAAUUCGAUCAUUUAGUGUUCUUUAGCAAGAGCUCGGGCCAUACAAGCGCAGUUUAACAUAAUUUCAAUCUAAGUUGACUUUAAAUUUCACUAGUUAAUUAUAAUCUAUAGGUAAUAAUUGAUAUAUUUUUUGUUGAAGCGUUAAUUAUUACGACUACUGAAAGUAUGGAGUGACUUUCUCUUCGGAUUUGUUAGUUUUGUAAAUUUUUUUAUUUUAUUUUCAAUUACCACAAAACGCAUCAGGAGUGGUUGCGUUCAGUGUCCAAUUAAAUUCCUCUAUUUUGUGAUCAGAACGAAAAUUUUAAUCAGU